rnacentral:rRNA from 1 species
CACGUAGGGGGCUAGCGUUGUCCGGAAUCAUUGGGCGUAAAGAGCGUGUAGGCGGCUCGGUAAGUCCGCUGUAAAAGUCAAAGGCUCAACCUUUGAAUGUCAGUGGAUACUGCCGGGCUAGAGUCCGGAAGAGGCGAGUGGAACUCCUGGUGUAGCGGUGGAAUGCGCAGAUAUCAGGAAGAACACCAACGGCGAAGGCAGCUCGCUGGGACGGUACUGACGCUGAGACGCGAAAGCGUGGGGAGCGAACAGG